rnacentral:rRNA from 1 species
GACGAACGCUGGCGGCGUGCUUAACACAUGCAAGUCGAACGGAAAGGCCCUGCUUUUGUGGGGUGCUCGAGUGGCGAACGGGUGAGUAACACGUGAGUAACCUGCCCUUUACUUUGGGAUAACUUCAGGAAACUGGGGCUAAUACCGGAUAGGAGCUCCUGCUGCAUGGUGGGGGUUGGAAAGUUUCGGCGGUUGGGGAUGGACUCGCGGCUUAUCAGCUUGUUGGUGGGGUAGUGGCUUACCAAGGCUUUGACGGGUAGCCGGCCUGAGAGGGUGACCGGCCACAUUGGGACUGAGAUACGGCCCAGACUCCUACGGGAGGCAGCAGGGGGGAAUAUUGCACAAUGGGCGGAAGCCUGAUGCAGCAACGCCGCGUGCGGGAUGACGGCCUUCGGGUUGUAAACCGCUGUCGCCUGUGACGAAGCGUGAGUGACGGUAAUGGGUAAAGAAGCACCGGCUAACUACGUG